AAGGAUUUGGGGCAUCAGAGGAGGCCGUGAGACACGAAGUGGCGGACGCUAGAUGGACGAGCGGAUGGAAAUAUCGAUCGGAGCUGGAAAGAGUAAAUGACAGACAAUGGAUGGAUGAAAAAAUGAGGUUGGUUCUUCAAGUGGAGCCCUGAAUAUGCCGACCCAUCACAGGGCAGCAACCUCCCCCCUGUAGGGGAAACGUCUUCAUCGGCGAGCGCGCUCAUGUGAGGAGAAGACGUUCGUCCGAACCCGGGGUCCGAGAGCGUGACCCACCCCGCUUGCAGCUUUGUCAUUGACUGUGCAUCUGGAAUGACGCACACACACACACACACACACACACACACACACACAUGACUCGACGACGCGGGUGUG
ensembl:lncRNA